rnacentral:rRNA from 1 species
GGGCAAGCGUUAUCCGGAUUUAUUGGGUUUAAAGGGAGCGUAGGCCGGCUUUUAAGUCAGCUGUGAAAGUCCGCGGCUCAACCGUGGAAUUGCAGUUGAAACUGGAGGCCUUGAGUGCACACAGGGAUGCCGGAAUUCAUGGUGUAGCGGUGAAAUGCUUAGAUAUCAUGAAGAACUCCGAUCGCGAAGGCAAGUGUCCGGGGUGCAACUGACGCUGAGGCUCGAAAGCGUGGGGAUCGAAC